rnacentral:rRNA from 1 species
GUNUCUUAAGUCUGAUGUGAAAGCCCACGGCUCAACCGUGGAGGGUCAUUGGAAACUGGGAGACUUGAGUACAGAAGAGGAGAGUGGAAUUUCCACGUGUAGCGGUGAAAUGCGUAGAUAUGUGGAGGAACACCAGUGGCGAAGGCGACUCUCUGGUCUGUAACUGACGCUGAGGCGCGAAAGCGUGGGGAGCAAACAGGAUUAGAUACCCUGGUAGUCCACGCCGUAAACGAUGAGUGCUAGGUGUUAGGGGUUUCGAUGCCCUUAGUGCCGAAGUUAACACAUUAAGCACUCCGCCUGGGGAGUACGACCGCAAGGUUGAAACUCAAAGGAAUUGACGGGGGCCCGCACAAGCAGUGGAGCAUGUGGUUUAAUUCGAAGCAACGCGAAGAACCUUACCAGGUCUUGACAUCCUUUGACCACCCUAGAGAUAGGGCUUUCCCCUUCGGGGGACAAAGUGACAGGUGGUGCAUGGUUGUCGUCAGCUCGUGUCGUGAGAUGUUGGGUUAAGUCCCGCAACGAGCGCAACCCUUGAUCUUAGUUGCCAGCAUUCAGUUGGGCACUCUAAGGUGACUGCCGGUGACAAACCGGAGGAAGGUGGGGAUGACGUCAAAUCAUCAUGCCCCUUAUGACCUGGGCUACACACGUGCUACAAUGGAUGGUACAAAGGGCUGCAAAACCGCGAGGUUGAGCGAAUCCCAUAAAGCCAUUCUCAGUUCGGAUUGUAGGCUGCAACUCGCCUACAUGAAGCCGGAAUUGCUAGUAAUCGCGGAUCAGCAUGCCGCGGUGAAUACGUUCCCGGGCCUUGUACACACCGCCCGUCACACCACGAGAGUUUGUAACACCCGAAGUCGGUGAGGUAACCUUUUGGAGCCAGCCGCCUAAGGUGGGACAGAUGAUUGGGGUGAAGUCGUAACAAGGUAGCCGUAUCGGAAGGUGCGGCUGGAUCACCUCCUUAAUU